ACCUGGUUGAUUCUGCCAGUAGUCAUAUGCUUGUCUCAAAGAUAAGCCAUGUGAUCUGAGUAGCCA
rnacentral:rRNA from 1 species